AGAGAUACAAUAUAAGCUCUAUGAACAACACAAAGUUGUCUCUCAAAUGGCUCAACAAAAGCUCUAAAUAUGAUGUAGAAAUGUUAUCAAUAUGCUCAAGAAUAAUGAGAGAUAUUGUUCAUAUGAAAUGAGUCAAAAAGACCUCUAUUUAUAGGUGGUAGAGGUUGUAUGUCCGUUGUUUAAUAGGCAAUCAAUCAUGCUGAUUUUAUGCCAAGAUAAUGGAUU
rnacentral:lncRNA from 1 species